AGAGUUUGAUCAUGGCUCAGGAUGAACGCUAGCGGCAGGCUUAACACAUGCAAGUCGAGGGGUAGAAGCAGCUUGCUGCUUUGAGACCGGCGCACGGGUGCGUAACGCGUAUACAAUCUACCUUUUACAGAGGGAUAGCCCAGAGAAAUUUGGAUUAAUACCUCAUAGUAUUUUCGAAUCGCAUGAUUUGAUUAUUAAAGUUCCAACGGUAAAAGAUGAGUAUGCGUCCCAUUAGCUAGAUGGUAAGGUAACGGCUUACCAUGGCAACGAUGGGUAGGGGUCCUGAGAGGGAGAUCCCCCACACUGGUACUGAGACACGGACCAGACUCCUACGGGAGGCAGCAGUGAGGAAUAUUGGACAAUGGGCGCAAGCCUGAUCCAGCCAUGCCGCGUGCAGGAAGACGGUCCUAUGGAUUGUAAACUGCUUUUAUACAGGAAGAAACACACCCUCGUGAGGGUACUUGACGGUACUGUAUGAAUAAGCAUCGGCUAACUCCGUGCCAGCAGCCGCGGUAAUACGGAGGAUGCAAGCGUUAUCCGGAAUCAUUGGGUUUAAAGGGUCCGUAGGCGGCCAAAUAAGUCAGUGGUGAAAGCCCAUCGCUCAACGAUGGAACGGCCAUUGAUACUGUUUGGCUUGAAUUAUUAGGAAGUAACUAGAAUAUGUAGUGUAGCGGUGAAAUGCUUAGAGAUUACAUGGAAUACCAAUUGCGAAGGCAGGUUACUACUAAUAUAUUGACGCUGAUGGACGAAAGCGUGGGGAGCGAACAGGAUUAGAUACCCUGGUAGUCCACGCCGUAAACGAUGGAUACUAGCUGUUCGGAGCAAUCUGAGUGGCUAAGCGAAAGUGAUAAGUAUCCCACCUGGGGAGUACGUUCGCAAGAAUGAAACUCAAAGGAAUUGACGGGGGCCUGCACAAGCGG
rnacentral:rRNA from 1 species